ensembl:lincRNA
GUGUUGGUGCCAGAAGAAAAAAGAAAAUGACUGCUGGGAAACAGACAAGGGAUUGUAGACACUCAUCCUUGUGCUCCAGAUACUGAUCCCUCAUCACAUCUGAACAGCACCAGUGACCCUGAACACUGAGGAUCACUCAGGAUUAUCGGAUGUACAAUGGGAGAGCUAUCACUUUGCUAAAUUAUUAUUUGGUCCUGGACAUCCUUCACAAAAGUCUAAUAGUUUUCUUCUAUGAGGAGGGAAAGGCUGCAAGCCAUUGAUGCCUAACACAGAAGCACAUUAGGCUUCCACCAAAGUCCUCAACGUACCUGAUUGCACAGUAUUUCAACCUAUCACAUUCAGUUUGGGAAUCUGCUUGGAGACCUCGGCUUAUUUUUUAAAAAUAUACAGACCUAUCUACAUAAGGUUCAUAAUAUGUGUUGGUGCUCAUGAUAUAUAUAUAUAUAUAUAUAUAUAUAUAUAUAUAUAUAUUCAUGUAUAUGUAAAGGAGAAACUGACUGCAAAUAAGACACGAAGAUUGCCAAGAUUUUAGAGAUGUAUUUGUCAAGAUUCCUGUCGAUUCAUGCCCUGUGGGUUACAGUGUCCUCUGUGAUGCAGCCCUACCCUUUAGUGUGGGGACAUUACGAUGUAUGUAAAACUCAGAUUUACACAGAAGAAGGGAAAGUUUGGGAUUAUAUGGCCUGCCAGCCGGAAUCCACGGACAUGACAAAAUAUCUGAAAGUGAAACUGGAUCCUCCGGAUAUUACCUGUGGAGACCCUCCAGAGGCGUUCUGUGCGAUGUAAUAGGAAAAAUGAACAACCCCAUGUAUUUCUUCCCACUUGAAGCUGAGAAGGGACAAAGGGUUGAGUUAAAGUUCCCCUGACAGCAAGUUAUGAGCCUGACAAGAAUCUUUGUGAUUUGCCUGACAAUCUGAAUGAUAAAACCAGCUUGCUUCAACAAGGUCCCUCAUACUGGACAUCUUGCAAGAGAAGUCUUACAACUCUCUGGUCUUACAGCUCUCUGGUCUUACAAAAGAUGACACUCAGUUGGAGAAGAGUGAGAAGUCUUUAGUAGCUUAGAUGGAGCAAUAAAAUGAUGUGAGGAGAAAAAAAAAGUCUCUUUUUGUUUUCUUGGCAGUAAUUUAGAGACAGAUAAGCAAAACUUUAAGCGUCACAAGAUUUCAUGAAGAAAAGACCAUUGUGAGAAUGUCUUCUCUCUCCUAGGAGAGAGAUUUGAAUUUCAGGAUUUCCUUUUCUAAAUGAAUUUAAAUUCCAUCUGGAUUUCCUAGUAUUGAUGAAUGAGCACACUGUACUAGUCAAUAUAACUACUGGGAGUGGGUUAAUAUGGCACACAAAGGAUUGUAAGCUCUAUCCCACAGCAGUCAGCACUGCUGGCAUGAAUUGUCAGCUAUCAACAUCAUCCAACCAUUGCUUCCCAGUUUUAUUUAAGUCAUUUCUGGGGUAGAAGCAAACAGCCUGAAUGAUGGCCAUGAAUGGUCUAGCUCACAUAACAUUUCUUUCUGUUCUUUAUAAACACUCUAUGAGAUAUUUAUUAUCCCCAGUGUGUAAGUGGAAACAAGAGUCAAGGAAGGACAAUAGCUCUUCCAGGGACACACUACGGAUGCCUGAACCCAGUCCUCUUCUCUUUCUACUGUGGAAUGCAGUGUUUUGGGUAGAUGCUCAC